GUACCUUCAAGCUCUGCUUGGUGUUGGGUGUUUGUCCCGCCUUUGUGCGCGGACUCGCCUUAAAGCAAUUGGCAGCCGACGUCUAGGUUUCGGAGCGCAGCACAAAUCGCGCUCUGAGUCCUGGUACGGCGGCGUCCAUCAAGACUAUUUUACAC
rnacentral:misc_RNA from 1 species